AUUAUACAGCGAAACUGCGAAUGGCUCAUUAUAUAAGUUAUCGUUUAUUUGAUAGUACCUUACUACUUGGAUAACCGUGGUAAUUCUAGAGCUAAUACAUGCUGAAAAUCCCGACUUCGGAAGGGAUGUAUUUAUUAGAUUAAAAACCAAUGCCCUCUGGGCUCUCUGGUGAUUCAUAAUAACUUCUCGAAUCGCAUGGCCUUGCGCCGGCGAUGGUUCAUUCAAAUUUCUUCCCUAUCAACUUUCGAUGUUUGGGUAGUGGCCAAACAUGGUUGCAACGGGUAACGGAGGGUUAGGGCUCGACCCCGGAGAAGGAGCCUGAGAAACGGCUACUACAUCCAAGGAAGGCAGCAGGCGCGCAAAUUACCCAAUCCCGAUUCGGGGAGGUAGUGACAAUAAAUACUGAUACAGGGCUCUUUUGGGUCUUGUAAUUGGAAUGAGUACAAUUUAAAUCCCUUAACGAGGAACAAUUGGAGGGCAAGUCUGGUGCCAGCAGCCGCGGUAAUUCCAGCUCCAAUAGCGUAUAUUAAAGUUGUUGUGGUUAAAAAGCUCGUAGUUGAACCUUGGGCCUGGCUGGCCGGUCCGCCUCACCGCGUGUACUGGUCCGGCCGGGUCUUUCCCUCUGUGGAACCCCAUGCCCUUCACUGGGUGUGGCGGGGAAACAGGACUUUUACUUUGAAAAAAUUAGAGUGCUCCAGGCAGGCCUAUGCUCGAAUACAUUAGCAUGGAAUAAUGAAAUAGGACGUGCGGUUCUAUUUUGUUGGUUUCUAGGACCGCCGUAAUGAUUAAUAGGGACAGUCGGGGGCAUCAGUAUUCAAUUGUCAGAGGUGAAAUUCUUGGAUUUAUUGAAGACUAACUACUGCGAAAGCAUUUGCCAAGGAUGUUUUCAUUAAUCAGGAACGAAAGUUAGGGGAUCGAAGACGAUCAGAUACCGUCGUAGUCUUAACCAUAAACUAUGCCGACUAGGGAUCGGACGAUGUUAUUUUUUGACUCGUUCGGCACCUUACGAGAAAUCAAAGUGCUUGG
rnacentral:rRNA from 1 species